CCUACGGGAGGCAGCAGUGAGGAAUAUUGGUCAAUGGACGAGAGUCUGAACCAGCCAAGUAGCGUGAAGGAUGACUGCCCUAUGGGUUGUAAACUUCUUUUAUAUGGGAAUAAAAUGUUCCACGUGUGGGAUUUUGUAUGUACCAUAUGAAUAAGGAUCGGCUAACUCCGUGCCAGCAGCCGCGGUAAUACGGAGGAUCCGAGCGUUAUCCGGAUUGAUUGGGUUUAAAGGGAGCGUAGGUGGAUUGUUAAGUCAGUGGUGAAAGUUUGCGGCUCAACCGUAAAAUUGCAGUUGAAACUGGCAGUCUUGAGUACAGUAGAGGUGGGCGGAAUUCGUGGUGUAGCGGUGAAAUGCUUAGAUAUCACGAAGAACUCCGAUUGCGAAGGCAGCUCACUGGACUGCAACUGACACUGAGGCUCGAAAGUGUGGGUAUCAAACAGGAUUAGAUACCCUGGUAGUC
rnacentral:rRNA from 1 species